GUAGUCAUACGCUUGUCUCAAAGAUUAAGCCAUGCAAGUCUAAGUAUAAAUCGUUUUUACUGAUGAAACUGCGAACGGCUCAUUAAAUCAGUUAUAGUUUAUUUGAUGGUAUUGGGAUUUAUCCCAACUACAUGGAUAACUGUAGUAACCUAGAGCUAAUACAUGCAUAACAAUCUAACUUUUUGGAAAGAUUGGCACUUAUUAGAUAUCAAACCAAUACCUUCGGGUUUUUUUGGUGAACCAUAAUAACUGAACAGAUCGCAUGACCUUGUGUCGGCGACGUUUCAUUCAAAUUUCUGCCCUAUCAACUAGAUGUUAGUAUAUAGGACUAACAUGGUUUUAACGGGUGACGGGGAAUUGGGGUUCGAUUCCGGAGAAGGAGCAUGAGAAACGGCUACUACUUCUAAGGAAAGCAGCAGGCGCGCAAAUUAUUCAAUGGAAACAACUUUCCGAAAUAGUGACAAAAAAUAACAAUACGUUGCACUAAGUGUGAUGUAAUUGGAAUGAGUACAACUUAAAACCCUUAACGAGUAACAAUUAGAGGGCAAGUCUGGUGCCAGCAGCCGCGGUAAUUCCAGCUCUAAUAGCGUAUAUUAAUGUUGUUGCAGUUAAAAAGCUCGUAGUUGAAACUUGAAUAUUCUAAUAAGUUUGGUCUAUCUUUAUGAUAUGACUACUUAUUGAUAUUCUUCCUACUAGUAACUCGAUACUGUUCUUAAUUGAGUGGUAUAGCAAUCUUUUGGGGUUGUCAAUAUAUAUUUUUGGCUCCUCCAUAAUAUGGAUAGGUGUAAAAGUCUUGAAGUGUUAUGAGUGGAUUAAGUUAAAGGUGUAUAUUGGAGUUCUAGUUCAUUUACUUUGAGAAAAUUAGAGUGUUUAAAGCAGCCUCUUGGGGCUCUGAAUACAUUAGUAUGGGAUAAUAGAAUAGGAUUUAAAUUAUAUAUUUGUUGGUUUGAAUUAUUUAAAUAAUGAUUAAUAGGGACAGUUGGGGGUAUUUAUAUUGGAUGGUUAGCGGUGAAAUGCAUGGAUCCAUUCAAGAUAAACUAAAGCGAAAGCAUUUACCAAGGAUGUUUUCAUUAAUCAAGAACGAAAGUUAAGGGAUCGAAGAUGAUCAGAUACCGUCGUAGUCUUAACUAUAAACUAUGCCGACCAGGGAUAUGAGUUGUUAUGAAUGACUUUUUAGUUAUUCAAUUUCCUCUUGUGGACCUUGUGAGAAAUCAUAAGUCUUUGGGUUCUGGGGGGAGUAUGGUCGCAAGGCUGAAACUUAAAGGAAUUGACGGAGGGGCACCACCAGGAGUGGAGCGUGCGGCUUAAUUUGACUCAACACGGGAAAACUUACCAGGUCCAGACAUUAGAAGGAUUGACAGAUUGAUAGCUCUUUCAUGAUUUAAUGGGUGGUGGUGCAUGGCCGUUCUUAGUUGGUGGAGUGAUUUGUCUGGUUAAUUCCGAUAACGAACGAGACCUUUACCAUACUAAAUAGUUUUGCGUAAUCUUUUGAUUACGUACUAUAACUUCUUAGAGGGACUAUUGGUUCUUAAACCAAAGGAAGUAAAGGCGAUAACAGGUCUGUGAUGCC
rnacentral:rRNA from 1 species